UUCAUGGAGAGUUUGAUCCUGGCUCAGGACGAACGCUGGCGGCGUGCCUAAUACAUGCAAGUCGAGCGGACCGACGGGAGCUUGCUCCCUUGGGUCAGCGGCGGACGGGUGAGUAACACGUGGGUAACCUGCCUG
rnacentral:rRNA from 1 species